UACGGGAGGCAGCAGUGGGGAAUAUUGCACAAUGGGCGCAAGCCUGAUGCAGCCAUGCCGCGUGUAUGAAGAAGGCCUUCGGGUUGUAAAGUACUUUCAGUCGUGAGGAAGGUGUUAAGGUUAAUAACCUUAGCAAUUGACGUUAGCGACAGAAGAAGCACCGGCUAACUCCGUGCCAGCAGCCGCGGUAAUACGGAGGGUGCGAGCGUUAAUCGGAAUUACUGGGCGUAAAGGGCACGCAGGCGGUUAAUUAAGUUGGAUGUGAAAUCCCCGGGCUUAACCUGGGAAUGGCAUUCAAGACUGGUUAGCUAGAGUCUUGUAGAGGGGGUAGAAUUCCAUGUGCAGCGGUGAAAUGCGUAGAGAUGUGGAGGAAUACCGGUGGCGAAGGCGGCCCCUGGGACAAAGACUGACGCUCAUGUGCGAAAGCGUGGGGAGCAAACAGGAUUAGAUACC
rnacentral:rRNA from 1 species